GGUUCAGUUACCCGAGUUUGAGUAAUUUGGGUGUUUCGGUCCAGAGUUUAGGCUAUUGUGGCUUGAAGUAAAAUUUUGGGACGUCCUGCAUGUUUGUAGGGCAAU
rnacentral:sRNA from 1 species